UACAGAGGUCUCAAGCGUUUGUUCGGAUUCAUUGGGCGUAAAGGGUGCGUAGGCGGCGCGGUAAGUCGGGUGUGAAAUCUUGGAGCUUAACUCCGAAACUGCAUUCGAUACUGCCGUGCUUGAGGACUGGAGAGGAGACUGGAAUUUACGGUGUAGCGGUGAAAUGCGUAGAUAUCGUAAGGAAGACCAGUGGCGAAGGCGGGUCUCUGGACAGUUCCUGACGCUGAGGCAACGAAGGCCCAGGGGAGCAAACGGG
rnacentral:rRNA from 1 species